rnacentral:rRNA from 1 species
UACGUAGGGAGCAAGCGUUAUCCGGAUUUACUGGGUGUAAAGGGCGUGUAGGCGGGCCUGUAAGUUGGGAGUGAAAUCCGGGGGCUUAACCCCCGAACUGCUUUCAAAACUGCGGGUCUUGAGUGAUGGAGAGGCAGGCGGAAUUCCCCGUGUAGCGGUGAAAUGCGUAGAUAUUGGGAGGAACACCAGUGGCGAAGGCGGCCUGCUGGACAUUAACUGACGCUGAGGCGCGAAAGCGUGGGGAGCAAACAGG